UACGGAGGGGGCUAGCGUUGUUCGGAAUGCCUGGGCGUAAAGCGCGCGGAGGCGGGCGGUCAAGGUGGGGGUGAAAGCCCGGGGCUCAACCCUGGAACGGCCUUCAAUACUGACUGUCUAGAGUUCGAGAGAGGUGAGUGGAAUUCCGAGUGUAGAGGUGAAAUUCGUAGAUAUUCGGAGGAACACCAGUGGCGAAGGCGGCUCACUGGCUCGAGACUGACGCUGAGGUGCGAAAGCGUGGGGAGCAAACAGG
rnacentral:rRNA from 1 species